CAGGCGGACUGCCCCAACUCCCUGCGAUGGAGGGGGGAUGUCGCGGGCUGUGGAUGUGGAGGACAGCCGUGUGACGAUAUACGGGGAAAGAAAAAAAGGGAACCCGUUAGAUUUAAACAAAUGGACGGGGCCAGCGGGACGUCACGAUGCGCAGUCGCCACAAAGCUCAAUACGCCGCUCAUGAACGCGCUCAUUUGGCUCCCAGCAUGCUGCACGUCCGGAGGGACCGCUGGCUACCAGGAGCUCAUCCAAACCAAGUGCAACCCACCAUGCUGCAAAUAAGGAGGACACAAAACUUACAAACAAAAGCGCCAGAAAUGAAGACGAAACUGCUCCCAACCGCCUCUCAGGUGUGUCGGAGACUGUGUGUGCUGCGGACAGAGAGCUGUGUUGCAGACCGGAGGGGUUGUCUGUUAUCUUUGGUUAUCUAGCUGUAUGAGUGAUGCACAUUUUUCAUAAAGCUAGAUAACCGAAAGUAACAAGAAUCCCAUUACACGCCUGCACGGAGGCAGAAGACUAAAUAAAAAAAAAACAUAAAAAGAACCAGGAAGGGGCUCGGACGAUGGACGCUAAGCGAUGAUGCGAAGGUUUCUCAUCAGUCUGGAUUUGGGAAUCAUCGAAUCCUUGCCUCUCCGCUCCUUUGGACUGUGACUAUGAGUCCAGCGACGUUCACUACACACAGGAAUACAUCAUUAACAGCUAAUAUAAUGGAGGACACACACUGAUUCUGUGAAAGCAGGAGCGGUCUCUAACAAGCUCUUAAACUGGUAAUGGAUACAAAAGUGACUUCAACAGCACAACAUCUUAAUCUGACUGGUGAAAGAAGAUUUUGAUACGAGUGGACAAACUGACCUUCGGCUAUUAUGACGGUGAAACUGAGAGUAAAGGACGGCAAAGCGAUCUCCGUGUGUGUGUGUGUGUGUGG